UUCUUUGCUUAUUGGCCACCCUGGUGUGACCAGGCCUCCUCUGCCCUGUGCUCCUGCCAUGAUGAACUGUGCCACCACAGGCCCAAGGCAACAUGGCAAAGAGACCAUGGACAGGAACCUCUGAAUCUGCAAACCAAAAUAAAUCUUUUCCUUAAGAAGUUGAAUAUCUCAGGUAUUUCAUCACAGUGACAGAAAGCUGGCCAACACAAAGGGGAAAAAUAAUGGAAAAGAAACAUGCAUUUCUAUUCAGUCGGACUCAGAAAUCAUUAGAGCUGAAACCAUGAGCAGGGCUUUGAAGAUUCUGUGAAGGACACGAUUAAUCCAUUCUGUUUGAGUGGAGAGGACUGGCAAAGAAUGGCAGCUUGUGUUUAUAUGAGUGAAGUUGAUUUCCUUCCUGGAGGGUGAGUGAAGUUGAUUUCCUUUCUGGAAGGUGACUGACCUUGAUCUUUUUCCCUGACUGGGUGUUGGUGCUGUGCUAAUCAGAGCAAAAUCCUUCAUGAGUAACCACUGGGUACUCUGCAGUAAUCUCCAUGUGACCUUUCUCUCGCCCUUCCUAGGUUAACAGUCAUUUGGAUGUUCAGAAGGCAUCACAAAUUGCCAUCCUGUUACUGAUGAUGGGCACUUUCCUUCCUCCUAUUAACAAGGAUCGCUCUUUGGCGUGUCUCUGGAAUGGGAAGCAAGCAAGAGAAAGCGGCAAGGGACAGAGGUGCAUCCACACAUCUCUCCAUUUUCAGCAAGAAAGCCCUUUCUCGGUCUGUGAAACUGUCCUUACACCAAAGCAUGUAAUGUUGCAAAGCAGUGAUCCCUGCAGUUCUAAUUCUGAACUCUGAAACCAGCAAAAUUACCUUCAAGACCCCCACUGGACUCGGCAGGCUGAGCCAGGCCACCUUGCCGAGGGCUGCUUCCUUCUGUAAGCAGACGAUUAGUACCAGUUACAGUUAGUUGGCACUGAGCACUUGGCCCAAGGUGCUCAGAAGUGAAGACCUUAAAACAAGAAAAUGAUACAGUGUCUAAUUAAAGUCCCGGUGUAAACACUGAAAGUUGGG
rnacentral:lncRNA from 1 species